CUUCAGGCUAGGGAUGGGAUUGGCUGUGUAGGAUGACCGUAUUUUCCCUUGUGGUUCUCUAACACUCUGCCCACACCGUCUGCGGAUCACAAGUUCGGGAGAUCAAGACCAUCCUGGCCAACAUGAGUUUUGCUCUUGUCCAUCCUUCCGGGUGUGCAGUAGGACCCUCUCUGGAAUGGGGGUCAAACCAGAUUUGAGAAACUUCUCCAGAAAGCUGUGAAAAGAAUAAGAUAGUGCAAAGAAAGUGCUUGGCCAGUG